ACAGGGAAACCAUCUGGAGGUUGAUGCAGCACUAUGGAUUCCACCAGUUCAUUGCCAUCAUCCACCAGCUGUAUGAGGACUCAACAUGCCAGGUGAUCCACAACAGGAUUAUGACCGUCCCUUUCACACCACCAGCGGACCUGUCUACAACUUACUGGAACAAGAAGCUUACAACACUUGUGUCCCCAAUUCCUGGCCUGAAUGCUUGGGCAGUCAUCAGAGCUUAAAAUAGGUAAAGGCAUUUGUCAUCACCUUAUCCCAGUAAGUCUACCCACAGAGUUUAUGCCAAAAAAGACCAUUGAAACACCUAAGCCAUAAACUAGGAAGCCAUCAACUCCUGUGUCUUGUUUUGCCUUGUUCCUGACCUUGGCUGAAAUACAGAUGAACAAUAAAAAAAUGCAAUUACUUAGGCAGUUAUCUUUAUUGAAUUGAGUUUGCAUGAAUAUAAGUGCCAAAGUGAUUAAAAGCCAUGGAAUAAACAUUUAACAUCAAUUUUUAUCUUAUAGUUAUAUAUACACCAAGUAAAGCUCCUCUACUUACAUAAUGCUUAAGAAUACAACGCUUUUCGGAUAAUUAGGCUUGCCAAAACAGUCCACUUAGCUUUUAUACAAAAAGUAUUAAAUGUAUGAUGAUAAUCAUUUUCUACUUAAACCUAAACUUUUGAAUGUUUUACUUUUAUGACCAUGACAUUGACACAUUAAAGACAUGAAUAGUUUUGUGCAUGCAAUUGUGUAUGAAUUUUAAUUUUAAUCGAGCUGCAACAGAAUUGCCCUCUGGGAAAAAUAAAGUCUUAUCUUAUCUUAUUAAGUAUAAUGUCUCUCUUUAAGCAGAGAAUUGCAUCAACGUGAAGUUGGGAGGGUGGUUUUAACACUAUAACAUUGUGAUCAAUAUCAAUCUUGCACAAAUGUAAAUAAAGGAGAUGAUACAAAAUUAAUCAAAAUACAAGGACAUAUAUAUCAUGUCAACUCAGUAUGUAUUAAUUUUGUGAUGACAAUUUAAAUUCUCAUGGGUUUAGAGAGGGAUAGAUGACAAAAUUACCAUCAUACUUUUAAUUUCCAUUUUACCAAAUAUGCUUGCAAAUGGCAUUUUCUUUUCACAGCAAAGUAGACAGUAUGAAAAGGUAUUAGCACAUACAAUAAACAUGGGGCAGUCAAUAACAUAAAUCUGGAAUCAGUUGUUGUGUUUCAAAAAACUUUUAAAGCAACAGCAUAUACGUUUAACAAAGGAUUAGGUGAUGGAAGGAGGGUAUGUGUUAGAUCACAGAACUGUAUGUUCAGGAGUGCAGAUCACUGACCCAUAUUCUGGAUAGAGGUGGAUUUUCAAAAUUAAACCCCCAAAUUACACAUUUGAUCUGGAAGCCUUCAGACUUUUUCUACGUCCCUUCUGUUUUGUUGUUGAGGUAAGUGUUGACCAUUUAAACUUUUCCAUACACUUCUUGCACUUGCGGAAUGCAUGAACCAUAAAAUACAAUUUGACAAUUAUAACUAAAAUAUUCUACGAUGCUAGGACAGUGUACAUUUGUUCAUAUAAGCAAGUCCUAACUGACUCUGUCUGGCAACAAUUGGUAAAAUACAAAUCAAAGGACAAAAUCCACCUGUUCAUCAAAGCAUUGUCUAAAUAUAGACUUGAACUUCUGAAAAAUUUUAACCACAUAGGUUUUAAGUCUGUAAGUUCCCCUCUAUCCAGAAUGUGUCAUUGAUUUCACAGCACUCAGAAGCUCUUGAUGUACUGGUGUCAGGUUCAUGUGUGAGUUCUUUUAAAGAAGACAAAAUAUCAUGUUUCUCAUUGUGAGAUAAUUUAAUUGUUCAUUUCUUAACAUUACAAAGCACAUAUAGCCUCCAAUGUAUUCUACAAUCUCUAUUUCAUCAGUCACCUCACUUAAAUCAGUUGCAGACUGAUUAUUAGCCAAGUUGUAGUUUUCAUUUACCAUUGUUUCAAAUACCAUUAGGCAGAUCCAUGUUGAUGCAGAGAUGGGAUAUAUGCCUUUCAAUAUCUUUACAAUCAAUUAAAAAUUCCUUGUAAAAAUUUAAAUAUGCUUUUUCUUUUGCAGCAGUUUUAAACUUGCUCUUCUUCACUGAACACUGGUUAAGAAACUGUAAAUCAUGAAGUAGUGCAGGUCCUAAAAAAGUAGAGAUAUACAAUGUGAUCUCAAAUGAAAUAAUUUAUGAACAGUUUACUGGUACCGCAUUAUUAAUAUAUGAAAAGUGCAUUUAAAAAACAAAAAUAAAGUCGAACUAAAAAUAACUGAAUGUAGGAUCAAUGCCAUUCACAUCAUAUCAUUGUCUAGAGGAAAAAGCACUAUUAAUAUAUAUAAGAAAAAAAAUUGCUUCAGCAUACACUCAGUAUUUUCUUCAAGCUGCUGGUUUUUUCUAAGCAUUGUUAAUACUGUACUCAAAACAGUGCACAUCUUUUCAGCCUCUAUACUUACCACCAACAUUAAGGAUUAUUUCCUUUACAUUGUCUGAAAUGUUGUCAUCUGACAUCAAAGCACUACAUUAAGACUCUUCCAAGAUCUCCAUUAA